CAAUGGAAAAUAUUAUUGCAUUCAUAAAUACACUUUGUUUUAACAUAGAUAUAGCAUGUAUUAAAACAUUCUUCCAUGAUGAUUACUUUCAACUUUUACAAAUUAAAACUAUUACAGGAACCUAGAAAAAGGAUUAUUUUCAAGGUCAUGAAAGAGUACUCAAAGGUCCUCCUCCAUCACUUCAAGUGGCAAAGGCCGUGAACUAUUUAACUUGGACAAGAAGUUGUUUGAAGAACACAUAGUAGCAGAUGUAUGAAUGCAAUACACAAAAUAUUUGCCAUAUUCUAUGUGGCUCUUAGUUGGAUUAUGUUAUCUCUUUUGUUUAUAGUACAAACACGGAUAGCAACUGAUAUAUUUAGUUGAUCACGUAGCAUAAGAUAGUGGGUAGAAAACGAUGAAGAAAUAAGGCGUAUACUUGAGUUUGAUUUUGUAAGUAUAUUUAAAGGAAGUGGAAGAAAAGGAAAUAUUUGCUCAAUUU